ACGAACGCUGGCGGCAUGCCUAACACAUGCAAGUCGAACGAGACCUUCGGGUCUAGUGGCGCACGGGUGCGUAACGCGUGGGAACCUGCCCUUAGGUUCGGAAUAACUCCCCGAAAGGGGUGCUAAUACCGGAUGAUGUCUUCGGACCAAAGAUUUAUCGCCUUUGGAUGGGCCCGCGUUGGAUUAGCUAGUUGGUAGGGUAAAAGCCUACCAAGGCGACGAUCCAUAGCUGGUCUGAGAGGAUGAUCAGCCACACUGGGACUGAGACACGGCCCAGACUCCUACGGGAGGCAGCAGUGGGGAAUAUUGGACAAUGGGCGAAAGCCUGAUCCAGCAAUGCCGCGUGAGUGAUGAAGGCCUUAGGGUUGUGGAGCUCUUUUACCCGGGAUGAUAAUGACAGUACCGGGAGAAUAAGCUCCGGCUAACUCCGUG
rnacentral:rRNA from 1 species